UACAGAGGGGGCAAGCGUUGUUCGGAAUUACUGGGCGUAAAGGGCGCGUAGGCGGCCUCUUAAGUCGAACGUGAAAUCCCCGGGCUCAACCCAGGAACUGCGUCCGAUACUGAAAGGCUUGAAUCCGGGAGAGGGAUGCGGAAUUCCAGGUGUAGCGGUGAAAUGCGUAGAUAUCUGGAGGAACACCGGUGGCGAAGGCGGCAUCCUGGACCGGUAUUGACGCUGAGGCGCGAAAGCCAGGGGAGCAAACAGG
rnacentral:rRNA from 1 species